rnacentral:rRNA from 1 species
CUACGGGAUGCAGCAGUGAGGAAUAUUGCACAAUGGGGGGAACCCUGAUGCAGCAACGCCGCGUGGAGGAUGACGCAUUUCGGUGUGUAAACUCCUUUUAUAUGUCAAGAAAAUGACGGUAGCAUAUGAAUAAGCACCGGCUAACUCCGUGCCAGCAACCGCGGUAAUACGGAGGGUGCAAGCGUUACUCGGAAUCACUGGGCGUAAAGGACGCGUAGGCGGGUUGGAAAGUCAGGUGUGAAAUCCUACAGCUUAACUGUAGAACUGCACUUGAAACUUCUAAUCUAGAGUAUGGGAGGGGGAGAUGGAAUUAGUGGUGUAGGGGUAAGAUCCGUAGAUAUCACUAGGAAUACCUAAAGCGAAGGCGAUCUCCUGGAACAUUACUGACGCUAAGGCGUGAAAGCGUGGGGAGCAAACAGGAUUAGAUACCCUUGUAGUC